AUUGAACGCUGGCGGCAGGCUUAACACAUGCAAGUCGAGCGGAGAUGAGGUGCUUGCACCUUAUCUUAGCGGCGGACGGGUGAGUAAUGCUUAGGAAUCUGCCUAUUAGUGGGGGACAACAUUCCGAAAGGUAUGCUAAUACCGCAUACGUCCUACGGGAGAAAGCAGGGGAUCUUCGGACCUUGCGCUAAUAGAUGAGCCUGCGUCGGAUUAGCUAGUUGGUGGGGUAAAGGCCUACCAAGGCGACGAUCCGUAGCUGGUCUGAGAGGACGACCAGCCACACUGGGACUGAGACACGGCCCAGACUCCUACGGGAGGCAGCAGUGGGGAAUAUUGGACAAUGGGCGCAAGCCUGAUCCAGCAAUGCCGCGUGUGUGAAGAAGGCCUGCGGGUUGUAAAGCACUUUCAGUGGGGAAGAAGGCAUACGUAUUAAUACUAUGUAUGAUUGACAUUACCUACAGGAGAAGCACCGGCUAACUCUGUGCCAGCCGCCGCGGUAACAC
rnacentral:rRNA from 1 species